UGACAGUACUCCUACGGGGAGGCAGCAGUGGGGGAAUAUUGCACAAUGGGCGCAAGCCUGAUGCAGCCAUGCCGCGUGUGUGAAGAAGGCCUUCGGGUUGUAAAGCACUUUCAGUCGUGAGGAAGGUAGUGUAGUUAAUAGCUGCAUUAUUUGACGUUAGCGACAGAAGAAGCACCGGCUAACUCCGUGCCAGCAGCCGCGGUAAUACGGAGGGUGCGAGCGUUAAUCGGAAUUACUGGGCGUAAAGCGCAUGCAGGUGGUUUGUUAAGUCAGAUGUGAAAGCCCGGGGCGUCAACCUCGGAAUAGCAUUUGAAACUAGGCAGACUAGAGUACUGUAGAGGGGGGUAGGAAUUUCAGGUGUAGCGGUGAAAUGCGUAGAGAUCUGAAGGAAUACCGGUGGCGAAGGCGGCCCCCUGGACAGAUACUGACACUCAGAUGCGAAAGCGUGGGGAGCAAACAGGAUUAGAUACCCUGGUAG
rnacentral:rRNA from 1 species